rnacentral:misc_RNA from 1 species
GAUGAAGAACGUAGCGAAAUGCGAUAAGUAGUGUGAAUUGCAGAAUUCAGUGAAUCAUCGAAUCUUUGAACGCACAUUGCGCCCCUUGGUAUUCCAUGGGGCAUGCCUGUUCGAGCGUCAUUGCCGCCCUCAAGCACGGCUUGUGUGUUGGGCCCCCGCCCCCCGGCUUCGGGGGGCGGGCCCGAAAGGCAGCGGCGGCACCGCGUCCGGUCCUCGAGCGUAUGGGGCUUCGUCACCCGCUCUGUAGGCCCGGCCGGCGCCCGCCGGCGACCCCAAUCAAUCUUUCCAGGUUGACCUCGGAUCAGGUAGGGAUACCCGCUGAACUUAAGCAAAUCAAUAAGCGGAGGA